rnacentral:rRNA from 1 species
AGUGAACGCUGGCGGCGUGCUUAACACAUGCAAGUCGAACGAAGUGGCGAACGGGUGAGUAACGCGUAAUAAACCUGCCCUUCAGAGGGGGACAACAGUUGAAAACGACUGCUAAUACCGCAUACUGAAGGAGGGGAUUGCGUUGGAUUAGCUAGUUGGAGGGGUAACGGCCCACCAAGGCGAUGAUCAGUAGCCGGUCUUGGGGGAUGGACGGCCACAUUGGGACUGAGACACGGGCCAGACUCCUGAGGGAGGCAGCAGGGGGGAAACUUCCGCAAUGGACGGAAGUCUGGCGGAGCAACGCCGCGGGAGUGAUGACGGCCUUCGGGUUGUAAAGCUCUGUUAAUCGGGACGCAGUACCGGAAUAGAAAGCCACGGCUAACUACGUGCCAGCCGCCGCGGUAAUAC